GGAAUAUUGGACAAUGGGGGAAACCCUGAUCCAGCGACGCCGCGUGUGUGAAGAAGGCCUGCGGGUUGUAAAGCACUUUCGGUGGGAACGAAAUAUGCCGGGUUAAUACCCCGGCAGUCUGACGUUACUCAACGAAGCAGCACCGCCUAACUCUGUGCCAGCAGCCGCGGUAAUACAGAGGGUGCGAGCGUUAAUCGGAAUUACUGGGCGUAAAGCGCACGUAGGUGGCGACGUAAGUCGGGUGUGAAAGCCCCGGGCUCAACCUGGGAAUUGCAUUCGAGACUGUGUUGCUGGAGUACGGAAGAGGAGGGCGGAAUUCCCGGUGUAGCGGUGAAAUGCGUAGAUAUCGGGAGGAACAUCAGUGGCGAAGGCGGCCCUCUGGUCCAGUACUGACACUCAAGUGCGAAAGCGUGGGGAGCAAAC
rnacentral:rRNA from 1 species